AGAGUUUGAUCAUGGCUCAGGACGAACGCUGGCGGCGUGCUUAACACAUGCAAGUCGAGGGGUUCCAGCAAUGGGGCACCGGCGAACGGGUGCGUAACACGUGAGCGACCUGCCUUCCCGCGGGGGAUAGCCGGCCCAACGGCCGGGUAAUACCGCAUACGCUCCUUGGGAUACCUGUCCCAGGGAGGAAACUUCCGGGGCGGGGAGAGGGGCUCGCGGCCUAUCAGCUAGUUGGCGGGGUAAUGGCCCACCAAGGCGGUGACGGGUAGCUGGUCUGAGAGGAUGGCCAACCACAUUGGGACUGAGAGACGGCCCAGACUCCUACGGGAGGCAGCAGUGGGGAAUCUUGCGCAAUGGGAGCAAUCCUGACGCAGCGACGCCGCGUGGGGGAGGAAGGGCUUCGGCUCGUAAACCCCUGUUGCCCGGGGCGAACCUCUGGUUUCGACCAGACUGACGGUACCGGGUGAGGAAGCACCGGCUAACUCCGUGCCAGCAGCCGCGGUAAUACGGAGGGUGCGAGCGUUGUCCGGAAUCACUGGGCGUAAAGGGCGCGUAGGCGGCAUGCCAAGCGUGUGGUGAAAGCCCGGGGCUCAACCCCGGGUCGGCCGUGCGGACUGGCGUGCUCGAGCACUGUAGGGGCGGGUGGAAUUCCGGGGUGUAGCGGUGGAAUGCGUAGAGAUCCGGAAGAACACCGGUGGCGAAGGCGGCCCGCUGGGCAGGAAGGAAGCGUAAGCUUCCGGCUGACGCUGAGGCGCGACAGCGUGGGGAGCAAACAGGAUUAGAUACCCUAGUAGUCC
rnacentral:rRNA from 1 species